rnacentral:rRNA from 1 species
AAUAGAUACCCAGGUAGUCCACGCCGUAAACGAUGGAUGCUAGCUAUUGGGGGGAAUCGACCCCCUCCGAAGCGAAGCUAACGCGUUAAGCAUCCCGCCUGAGUAGUACGAGCGCAAGCUUAAAACUCAAAGGAAUUGACGGGGACCCGCACAAGCGGUGGAGCGUGUGGUUUAAUUCGAUGGUAAACGAAGAACCUUACCAAGGUUUGACAUCCCGGUAGCCGUUCUCCGAAAGGAGAAUUUCAUUUAGUUGGACCGGUGACAGGUGAUGCAUGGCCGUCGUCAGCUCGUGUCGUGAGAUGUUGGGUUAAGUCCCGCAACGAGCGCAACCCUUAUGAUUUAGUUGGAUUUUUCUAAACAGACUGCCCUGGUAACAGGGAGGAAGGAGGGGAUGAUGUCAGGUCAGUAUUUCCCUUACACCUUGGGCGACACACGCGCUACAAUGGCCGGUACAAUGGGCAGCUAAGCCGCGAGGUGGAGCAAAUCCCAUCAAAGCCGGUCCCAGUUCGGAUUGCAGGCUGAAACCCGCCUGCAUGAAGCCGGAAUCGCUAGUAA